rnacentral:rRNA from 1 species
UAGACACCAAGGCAGAUCAUGUUAAGCACCCCCGAAUAAAGGACUAAACCAGAGGAUUCCUGCCCUAAUGUCUUUGGUUGGGGCGACCGUGGGGAAACAAAAAACCCCCAUGUGGAACGGGAAUACCCUUUCCUAAAACUAAGAGCCCCCGCUCUAAUAAGCAGAAUUUCUGACCAAUCAGAUCCGGCAACGCCGAUCAACGGACCGAGUUACCCUAGGGAUAACAGCGCAAUCCUCUUUUAGAGCCCAUAUCGACAAGAGGGUUUACGACCUCGAUGUUGGAUCAGGACAUCCUAAUGGUGCAGCCGCUAUUAAG